rnacentral:rRNA from 1 species
GGCUACUGCUAUUGGGAUUCGACUAAGCCAUGCGAGUCAAGGUGUCUUCGGACGCCGGCGUACGGCUCAGUAACACGUAGGUAACCUACCCUCAGGACUGUGAUAACCCCGGGAAACUGGGGCUAAUAUUAGAUAGAUAAAAGGUACUGGAAUGUUCUUUUAUCCAAAGCUUUUGCGCCUGAGGAUGGGCCUGCGUCCGAUUAGGUUGUUGGUGGGGUAAUGGCCCACCAAGCCUGCGAUCGGUACGGGCAGUGAGAGCUGAAGCCCGGAGUUGGGGACUGAGACAAGGCCCCAGGCCCUACGGGGCGCAGCAGGCGCGAAACCUCUGCAAUGCGGGAAACCGUGACAGGGGGAUCCCAAGUGCUCAUGCAUUGCAUGGGCUGUUCUUUGGUCUAGGUAACCAGAGGAGUAAGGGCUGGGCAAGACCGGUGC